rnacentral:rRNA from 1 species
UAAGUGGUUAAGGGCGCAUGGUGGAUGCCUUGGCAUCGGGGGCCGAUGAAGGACGUGGGAGGCUGCGAUAAGCCUCGGGGAGCUGUCAACCGAGCGUGGAUCCGAGGAUGUCCGAAUGGGGUAACCCGGCACGAGUGAUGUCGUGUCACCCGCAUCUGAAUGUAUAGGGUGCGGGGGGGAACGCGGGGAAGUGAAACAUCUCAGUACCCGCAGGAGAAGAAAACAACCUGUGAUUCCGUUAGUAGUGGCGAGCGAACGCGGAGGAUGGCUAAACCGUGCACAUGGGAUACCCGGCGGGGGUUGUGUGUGCGGGGUUGUGGGGCGUUUCUGGUCUGGGUCCGCCGGCCCGGGCGGAAGUGAUCAACCGUGGUGUUAGUCGAAGUGGCCUGGGAUGGCCCGCCGUAGACGGUGAGAGCCCGGUAGGCGAAAACAGCGCGGCUUCCGUGGAAGCGUUCCCGAGUAGCAGCGGGCCCGUGGAAUCUGCUGUGAAUCGGCCGGGACCACCCGGUAAGCCUAAAUACUUCCCGAUGACCGAUAGCGGAACAGUACCGUGAGGGAAUGGUGAAAAGUACCCCGGGAGGGGAGUGAAAAAGUACCUGAAACCGUGUGCCUACAAACCGUCAAAGCCCCCGCCCUGUGGUGUGGGGUGAUGGCGUGCCUUUUGAAGAAUGAGCCUGCGAGUCACUGACAUGUCGCGAGGUUAACCCGGGUGGGGUAGCCGCAGCGAAAGCGAGUCUGAAUAGGGCGUAUCCAACUCGUUGGGGUUGGUGUAGUGGCGUGUUGUGGACCCGAAGCGGGGUGAUCUACCCAUGGCCAGGGUGAAGCGCGGGUAAGACCGCGUGAAGGCCCGAACCCACUUAGGUUGAAGACUGAGGGGAUGAGCUGUGGGUAGGGGUGAAAGGCCAAUCAAACUCCGUGAUAGCUGGUUCUCCCCGAAAUGCAUUUAGGUGCAGCGUUGCGUGGUUCACCGCGGAGGUAGAGCUACUGGAUGGCCGAUGGGCCCGACUAGGUUACUGACGUCAGCCAAACUCCGAAUGCCGUGGUGGUAAGCGUGGCAGUGAGACGGCGGGGAUAAGCUUCGCGCGUCGAAAGGGAAACAGCCCAGAUCGCCGGCUAAGGCCCCUAAGCGUGUGCUAAGUGGGAAAGGAUGUGUGAUCGCGAAGACAACCAGGAGGUUGGCUUAGAAGCAGCCACCCUUGAAAGAGUGCGUAAUAGCUCACUGGUCAAGUGAUUGCGCGCCGAUAAUGUAGCGGGGCUCAAGCACACCGCCGAAGCCGCGGCAGCCGGCCAGUGGCCGGCUGGGUAGGGGAGCGUCCCCUCAUCGGUGAAGUCGUGGAGUGAUCCACGGUGAAGGUGAGGGGAGUGCGAAUGCAGGCAUGAGUAGCGAUAAGGCAAGUGAGAACCUUGCCCGCCGAAAGACCAAGGGUUCCUGGGCCAGGCCAGUCCGCCCAGGGUGAGUCGGGACCUAAGGCGAGGCCGACAGGCGUAGUCGAUGGACAACGGGUUGAUAUUCCCGUACCCGUGUGUGCGCGCCCAUACCGAAUCAGAUCCGCUAACCACCCAAACGGCCGGUGACUGGUUUUUCUUCGGAAAAACCAGCGCCUGCCCGCUGCGUGGGACCCGGUCUGCUAGUAGGUAAGCGAAGGGGUGACGCAGCAAGGUAGCCGUACCAGUCAGUGGUAACACUGGGGCAAACCCGUAGGGGGCCAGAUAGGCAAAUCCGUUUGGCGUAAACCCCGAGAGGUGAUGCAUAGCCGAGUGAGGCGAAUUCGGUGAUCCUCUACUGCCAAGAAAAGCCUCUAGCGAGCACACACACGGCCCGUACCCCAAACCGACACAGGUGGUCAGGUAGAGCAUACCAAGGCGUACGAGUCAACUAUGGUUAAGGAACUCGGCAAAAUGCCCCCGUAACUUCGGGAGAAGGGGGACCCCCACACCGUCAACCCACACGCUGGGGGCAGCGGCAGGGGGUGGCACAAACUAGGGAGAAGCGACUGUUUACUAAAAACACAGGUCCGUGCGAAGUCGCAAGACGAGGUAUACGGACUGACGCCUGCCCGGUGCUGGAAGGUUAAGAGGACCCGUCAACCCCCUCGGGGGUGAAGCGGAGAAUUUAAGCCCCAGUAAACGGCGGUGGUAACUAUAACCAUCCUAAGGUAGCGAAAUUCCUUGUCGGGUAAGUUCCGACCUGCACGAAUGGCGUAACGACUUCUCCACUGUCUCAACCAUAGACUCGGCGAAAUUGCACUACGAGUAAAGAUGCUCGUUACGCGCGGCAGGACGAAAAGACCCCGGGACCUUUACUACAACUUGGUACUGGUGUUCGAUGCGGCUUGUGUAGGAUAGGUGGGAGACUGCGAAGCACAAACGCCAGUUUGUGUGGAGUCGUCCUUGAAAUACCACUCUGGCCGUAUUGGACAUCUAACCUCGAACCCUGAAACCGGGUUCAGGGACAGUGCCUGGCGGGUAGUUUAACUGGGGCGGUUGCCUCCCAAAACGUAACGGAGGCGCCCAAAGGUUCCCUCAACCUGGACGGCAAUCAGGUGACGAGUGCAAGUGCACAAGGGAGCUUGACUGCAAGACCCACACGUCAAGCAGGGACGAAAGUCGGGACUAGUGAUCCGGCACCCCCGAGUGGAAGGGGUGUCGCUCAACGGAUAAAAGGUACCCCGGGGAUAACAGGCUGAUCUUCCCCAAGAGUCCAUAUCGACGGGAUGGUUUGGCACCUCGAUGUCGGCUCGUCGCAUCCUGGGGCUGGAGCAGGUCCCAAGGGUUGGGCUGUUCGCCCAUUAAAGCGGCACGCGAGCUGGGUUUAGAACGUCGUGAGACAGUUCGGUCUCUAUCCGCCGCGCGCGUCAGAAGCCUGAGGAAACCUGUCCCUAGUACGAGAGGACCGGGACGGACGAACCUCUGGUGCACCAGUUGUCCCACCAGGGGCACCGCUGGAUAGCCACGUUCGGCAAGGAUAACCGCUGAAAGCAUCUAAGCGGGAAACCCCCUCCAAGACCAGGCUUCUCACCCACCACAUGGGAUAAGGCCCCCCGCAGAACACGGGAUCAAUAGACCAGACCUACAAGCCCAGCAAUGAGCUCAGGGAACUGGCACUAACCGGCCGAAAACUUA